rnacentral:lncRNA from 1 species
UGGAUUUUAUGGGUUGAGAUUUGAGGAUUUUCUUGACCCAUGGUUGGUGUUGUCUUCUACCUUUUAAAAUGUCUUAAGGAAACGUGCAUUGACUCCGAAGGCAACGAUAAUCUAGCUCUCUCGUGAAAACGCAUCUUCGUCAAGCCUCCCUUGCAAAGAUCUAUCUAGGAGCCCCAAUUCUCGGCGAGGCUGUUGACGGUGAGAGGGAGAGGGUCGCUCCUCCACUACUAUUGGCAGCAGUUAGCGCGUCACUUGGAACUGCAACCGCAUGAAUCAGUUGUACCUUUUCCCUUGCAGUAUCUCCCAAGGUUUAUCAAUCCAUGGAAACAAGUUCUCAAGCCCUAAACUAACUAAGCAUCGGAAAACAUAAUUCAGGUCAAGAUGACUGUGAAUAGACAUGAAUAGAUACGAAGCAUGAGCAGAUAUAAAUAAGAGAUGACUCAUCACGAUCUGACUCCCGAAAACCCCCCACCUUACAUGGUAUGAGACCCCGU